UGGAAGUAUUCCUCAUGAGGGUCCAGCUGUGCCUUUUCCGGGUUCCCUGAGCCGCUGUCUCAUCCAGGACAGGAGACGUCAAUGAGGCGACAGAAGCCAGAGGAAGCAGGGCUCCAGCUCCCCCUCACAGCUCAUUCUCUUCCCUUCCCCAGGAAUGCCACGGCCUGAGGAACCUUUCCUCUCUCCAUGCGAUCUUCUGGGCUCUGGAGGGCCCCUCCAUUCAACGUUUAAAAGAGACGUGGAGACAGGUGUCCAGGAAGAACUGUCAAAUACUGAAGAAGAUCAUCCAAACAUGCCACCGGGAGAGCAGGAAGCUUCUCAAGGAGGAAGUGACAUCUGUGAGGGCCACCCUGGAGAUGGACCCCCAGG